AACGAAGAGCACACAAACCCCAGUUGUAGCACCUCUGCUACGCUUACUUUCAGUGACCUAAACAAUGUCCAGCAAAAUGCCGGCAGCAAAAUUACUAACACGUGUCCAAAUUUCAACACGAAAAUAUGGACAUACUAGUUUACUGAAGUUUGGUGGUGUCGCUAACAAUAUUAUCUGCGGUAGGUUCUUCUAGAUGCUUACUUUAUUUUUCCUCCGUGGUCCUUAUUUUAUAAUUUACAAACCAAGUUAUAAAUUGUUUGCUGCUAGUGCGUUUUCUGACAGUGCUAACAACGAUGCACGGCGCCAUGACACUUCCGCUUUGUCGUCACCUUCUUAGCUCACGCGGUUCAAACAUGCGCAGAAAGAUCAGCCAACUAUAUGGCAAAAAUCAAAUAUAAAUCGAAUAAAGAGCUUUUAAAAUUGCCCUGAAACAGCAAGUUCCAUAUACGUUACGAACAGCUAAAUGCUAGAUAAAAUGCAAUGUACAAAAAAUACAUUCAGCCCAUUUAAGCGCGACUUUAAAUCUGUCAUUAAUUAUUAAAUAAUUAUUUUAAAAUACAUACUUUAUGUCAUCCAUUCUGGAAGAUGAUCAAAUUAGAAGAUUAACAAAACUGGGAGAGUUAGAACUGGAUAUAAAGAUUAUCAACUAUAGACUUAGUCUUUCCAUGCAAAAAAAAGGUUUGUGGUUUACAGACAGCUCUGCAUGAGAGGCAAUCAGUAGCUUGGAAAAAACAUUUUCACUCACUAGUCCACUGCUGCAUCUGGAAAUGUAACAUGACACCGUAUUACACAGGAAGAAAGCCAUAUAGACACAUUACCAAAUUCCCUGGACAAGCUUAUCUCAAAUGGACAGAUAGACACCAGAUGCUUUUUCUGGAUGCACUUUUCAGUUUGUUUUUGUGAAUGUAAAAUCUGUCUUGUUUUAAGUGUCAGAGUUGAGAAGGACCAAUCAGGGUAUCAUUAGCAAAUGUUCAAAAGCAGUAUUUGUAGUAGUAUGAGUGUGAAUUAAUGUCUUUGGCAGCUGGCAUGCUACACCAUCAGAUAAAUGAUUUUCAUGUGUGUGAAAGUACAAUUACUGCAGAGGCAUACAAUAUAUAUUCAAUUGUUGGAGAGAAAACUGCCUCCUUCAAGGUCACAUCUUUUUCCAGACAAUGAGACAAGCCUCAUUCUUCACAACUUGCAUCUGUGUGGUUUCAUAGAUGGGCCAGAGUUGUCUUCUAUUAAAAUCGUGUGACACACUAUCAGGAGGAGAGUCAGAAAACAACAAACACACUGAGAAUAAAAUCAACCUGAGCAAGACUUAAGCUACAUAAUGUUUUGAAAAAAUUAAAUUUGCCUGUGUGUAAUCAUAACUCUAAAUGCUUAGAUUCCCCUUGUUUUUAUUAUUGCCCUUUCUAAACACACCUAACAAGCCUCACAGAAAAGCUACACUUACAUCUGGAGUGGAAAGGGUUACUCGGACACCCUGUCAUGCCAUGACUAAUGAUGGAUGAUCGCAGUUUAAUUACACUUUGAGGGUAUCACAUAUCUGUGGCUGGCUGGAAAUAAAUGAACCUGCUCGAUAUUGCGUGUAGUCUGUGGAAUUAUGGCAAUAUAUCAUGGUCAUUUCUGAAACAAAUAUUAUGUGUUUGUGAAAGGACUGCACCCUCACUGUGAGUUUAUCCUAUUGUUAUCUCUCUUUAUCCUAUGCCCACGGCUAUUGUUUCAGCAGCAGAUUAUUGUGUUAAUCUGAGAAGGAUUUCUUUAAUCUCUAAUAGAAUCCCGAAUGAAAUCAUCUCAUGAAGCUGAACCAGAAAGAAAUAAAAAAUCAAAAAGAAAACAACAACAACAACAAAAACACCCCCUGAAAAUUAAUGCCAGAGGAAAUCUGCUUACUUUGGGCUUACAUAGUGGCAUCCCUCGCCUCCAGAUAAACAGGGGGGAGAAGCCCUGUGGAGUUUGUCCAUAUGGCAUAGCAGUUGGCACAUGUAUAUUUUUUGAGGUCUUGAUGGUGCUCUUUGUCAUUUACUAGGGCAUCACUCUGAGCCUAAUCUCUUGGAUAAGCUAUUGAACAAAAAAUGCAAAAAUGGCUAUUUUCUCCUUUGCACUUCAAGUGUCGACAAUGUCUCCAUAUCAGAGAGGUUGACAUUUAUGCAAGCGGCCGAGUGUUUCAGACUAUAUUAGAGUGUGUGAGGAUUUUGUGCCUCAGGGCAGAUUUACUGCCAAGUGAUGUGUUGUGUAUGGUUUGCUGGCAGAAGAGUGAUGCUGACAAGGUUGAGUGCAUGUCCCACUGUGGUCACACUGCAGUUGCAAAAUUUCCCUUCAUCUUCAUAAUCUUUUUUUUUCUGUCUUUUAUUGUUAUUAUUUUAAUUUAUUUUAUUUUUCUUUGGUUGCUAUUUAUCCUGUGUGGCUGCACAGGAGUGAAGUAAACAUCAAGCAGCGCUAAGAGCAAAAAAUGAGAUUGGGAGGAGGGGAGGUGUUGGGGGGUGGGGGGGUUAGGCUGUUUGUGUGACACAGAGAGAGUGAACAUUCGGGAGAAAGAGGAAGAGAGGAGCCGGUGCAUUCUUUUCACCUCCAAAUCAGUUUUCCAGGAGGAUCCGUCAUCAAUAGCAGAAGAGGCAAAAAGAGAGAGAAUAUAGGGCAUUUCAGCCUGGCUUUACUCUUCUCCCAUCACAAAUCCAAGCCUCACAUAUAUGACAGAAAUGGAGGCCCCUCUUUCCACCCCGUGCAAUAUCAACAUCUGUGAAGUGACUUGUGACUCCUUCCGCAUCAUGUGGGACAUGACCCCUGAGGACACUGCCAGAGCCACACACUUCUUUAUUGACCUGAGCCGCAAAGAAAACACAGAUCCAAACCGCUUUAAACACAGGGAUGUGCCAACCAAGUUGGUUGCCAAGGCUGUGCCUCUCCCUAUGGCAGUUAGAGGACACUGGUUUCUCAGUCCACGGACAGAGUACUGUGUUGCUGUUCAAACUGCUGUCAGACAGUCAGAUGGUGACUACCUGGUGUCAGAGUGGAGCCAGGUGAUAGAGUUCUGCACUGGGGACUACGCUAUGGAACACCUACAGCAGCUUCUUGACAAAGCCAAAGGCUCAGCAGGGAGGCUGUUGAAAUUCUCUGUUUUUUAUCGCAACCAGCACCCAGACUACUUUGACUAUGUCAGGAGAGAAUGUGGAGGACUGAUGCGUCCAGCCCUAAAAGACAGCAGUGGGAGUCAUGGCUCUCCUAUCAAUGGCAAACUACAGGGAGUCUUCUUCAGCUGCAACACAGAGUUUGACACUGGACUACCUUCCAAAGACUCCCCCUACGGACCCCUGAGAUUCCAGAUCCCUGCUGGAUACCUACUGAACCCCAACAUCUCCCUGUAUUUUGCAGACUUCUACUGUAUGUACACAGCCUAUCACUAUGUGGUGCUGGUACUGGCCCCCGUUGGCACAGAGGGAGAUGUCUUCUGUCGCACCCGCCUCCCGAUGCUGGACUUGUCCUCCAACCCCUUCCUAACAUACACUGCUCCCCAGAGGCAGGGGGAGGAGCCUCUGUACUGCCAUGCUAGUGAUGUCAUCCUUGAGGUGCUCUUCACAGAGCCGGUUCAUUUGGACCAGGGCAGCGUGGAGCAGAUCAACGGGCACCACCAGCUCAUGAGUCUAACUACAGCCAACGCCAAGAAGGACCCAAGCUGUAAAGUGUGCAACAUCAGUGUGGGACGCUGAGGAAGAUGCUUGAUGUAGGACAGACAUGUUUUUGACUCCAUAGAGCUGAAAAAUACAAAGUUGGACAUGAAAAAACAGUUGAGCCCAUCAUGUGUAGAAUAGUGACUUAUUUAUUUUAUAAUCACCUGGGAAUGCAAAUUCACAACUCCAUCAUGAACAUAUUUGGGAAAUCAUUGUUGCCCAUACACGAAAGAUGACAUUAAAACAUGUUAAAUUUAGUAUAAAUAUUCGGUACUUGCUGAAAUUCAUAAGAACUCUCUCCAGAUGUCUAAAUGUUUAUUCAGUAUUUUCCCACAUGAUGUGUUUUUCCUCUGCAAAUUUUACGUGAUUGUUUUACAGAAGACUGAAUUUCAGACAAAGCAUGAUUUCUUUUUUAAAUACUUAUUAUUCCUUUCUACAAAGUCACUGCCAAAUGUCUU